GCCUCCCCAGCCCUGGCCACCCACGUGAUGCUAUGAUUGUCCCCUUCCCCAUCACGUCUCUUUCUGAGCUGAAUUUGCAGACUUGUAUCCACUCUGGUUUUCUUCUCCAAGGCUACAGUCCUAUAAGGAUCUCCACCAAGUUUAUGUCUGAGUUUUGAUAAUAACCCAUGCAGCACUGUAGUUGGAGACACGAGGCCUUGACCAUCAGCAUCCCAAGUAACCAUGAUACAAAAGGAAGAUGGAAUCCUCCCUUCUAUGGCUCCUUAUGUAACGGUUGGAGAUUACCACAGAGGCACAGAAAAAGUCUAAUCAGCUGUUAGAGCCUUAAUUACAUUCCUCUUGGUCGAAAUCCCCAAAUUACCUAAUUGUCACUCAGUUCACAUUUGAGCGGUUGAUUUUUUUCUCCCCCUGAUCUAUUAUUAUUCUAAUCGCCUUUUGGAUGUGGGGUGUUGGUAGCAGUGUAAGGGCUGACUACAGUUCUGCUGUUAGAGCCUUUCCCAUGGAGGAGUCCAGGGUCCUUAGAAGAAUUAGCUAUUAGGUAAACUGAGGAAGGAAAACUGCCAUACAUGAAAGAGACCUGUGAGACCACCACCUCUGGCUGUUCUCUCUCCUUCUCAGGAGUCCCAGCUGCCCAGGAUAUGGCUCUUUUCUGUCUUUCCGAUUGAUCCAUGGAAUAUUCCCUCAACAGAGCAAACUGCUCCUGUCUGUCCUCGUAUUUACUGAAGCAAAUAUGAUGGCAGCCUUGGGAACAAGACAGGCAGUGACAAUGGCCCCAGGCUCUCAAGUCACAGUCACUGUUUGAUCUUGGGCAAGCCACAAGCCACGUAAGCUCCCCAUUUCUCAACUGGUCAGUUGAGGGUGAUGAUGGGCUCUUCCUUACAGGGCUGUCAGAGUGAGAUGAAAAAAGGCAUCAAGAAAUGCAGUUCUUGUAGUUAUUAAUUAUUUAAUAAUCAUCACUGCUGCCCAGGGAAGGCCGACAGAUACAUCCCAAGAGCAUGUGCAAAAAGUUAAUUAGUAAUUAUAAGCUAGCUCUGUUUUAUGUUUUGCUGAAUUUUCAAGUUUCUAAUGUUGUAUCAUUCCGAUGUAGAGCCAAAGAAGACAAAGAAAAUGCGAUUAACUGUUGAGCUAAUUAUCAGGUCACAUCACUUCUAAGAGCACACACAAAAAAGUAAACCAAAGAAAUAGAACUUCUAUCCCUCUCUCGGGACCUGGGAACACAGGGACUCUGGAGGAUGAGGUAUUUUAAGUGAACUGCUGAAGAAAAUGGUGGCCCAUCAUUCCAGAGACUUUCAUUUUUAAAUUUGUGGUCGAACAAGCUUGGAGCUCUUCUUCCGUUGGCUGAACCUCAAGAGAAGAAUGAAAGCAAAUAUGCAGGUUGUUUAUGGAAAUAGCAGCGAUCAAAACUCAUCUCCAUGAAUUACCAGAUCAGUGCUGGAUUCUAAGACAGUUGAUGCUGCUAUCCAUAAAGAUAUUAGAUUAUCUCGAGAGCAGUUAUUAUGGGAGGAAAAAAAAAAGCAACUGCUCUAAUGUGAGCUGUGUAACAAUUAGGCAAUUCUGAAAUUUCAACUGAGAGGAAUUUAAUUAAGGCUCUAAUAGCUGAUUAAACUUAUUUUAGAUCUGCUGGCAAUUGCCACUGGUUACAUAAGUAACCCGAGAAGAAAGAUUUCCGUCUUUUACUUUCCCCGGAUUUAAUCCUGCUGGUGGCCAGAGGUAUGAUCCUUUUGGUGCUUCCCAAAAUAUGAUCCUCAGACCACCUAAAGCAGAACGCCCUAGGAUCCUGGUUGAAAAGUCAGACUCUCAGGCCUCAUCCCAGACCUACUGAUGCAGGCACUCUAAAGAUCUAGGUCUGCAUUCUGAAUCAGCCCCCCAGGAAAGGGUCUUAUUCACACCAAAGUUUCAUGAUACCACCACCUUGGAUAAUGGCAUUUAAACCCAGGCAUUCAAAAGAAGGGGACACUACCAAAAAAAACGAGACAUUGUACCUCAUUACUGAAAAGCAGCUCUUGGUUUGACUCUGCCAGUUGGCCCCAUCUGAGGCCCUGUGGCAUCAAAGACAAAAUGGUUUGGCCCCACUGCUCUUCAGUGGUUUCUUUGCAGAAGCUUGUUCACAUACACCAUGCAGGAGAAAGCGGAUUCCGGUGUGACUUCUGGUUUCAGAAGACCCUAGCCACCUUGGAUGAACUUUAGGUCGGAUCUUGGUUUAAAACAAAAAUCUUUGGGCUCAACUGCAAAGUGCUCCAGUUCUUUUUAACAGAAUCGCUUUUCUCCAUCAGAGGUCAAUUAUUUUUCUUUGUCCUCAAGACUUCAGUAUAUUUGCCGAAAAUGCUCAAAGGUUUAUCACCAAAAUCCAGUUUAUUUUGAAGAUGAUGCUAUUGAAGCAGAAAGACAGCAAGCAAUACACCUGACCCUUGAACAGAGGGGUUAGGGGCGCCUACCCUACCCCCUACGCCAUGCAGUUGAAAAUCCAAGUAUAACUUUUGAUUCCCCCAAAAACUUCACAACU